rnacentral:lncRNA from 1 species
UGUUCUUUAGGUUUCUCGUCAAUCAUUGGUUCUUCAAGUUUCUCUUUAACAACUAGUUCUUCAGAUUUCUCUUCAACUGGUAGAUUCUCGGGUUCUUCUUCAACUGCUGGUUCUUCAAAUUUUUCAGCUGCCGAUUCGUCAGGCUUUUCUUCAACUGAUGGUUCUUCAUGUUUUUCAUCGAAUGUUGGUUCUUCAACUGUAGAUUCUUCAGAUUUCUCCUCAACUGUUGGUUCCUCAGGUUUUUGGUCAACUACUGGUUCUUGAGGUUUAUCUUCAAUUGCUGGUUCUUCAGGUUUCUUUUCUAGUUCUUCACGUGUCUCUUUAACCACUGGAUCUUCAGGUGUUUCUUUCACCUCUUGUUUUUUGUGUUUCUCCUCAAUUGCUGGUUCUUGGGGUUUCUCUUCAAAUGUUUCUGCAAUUGCCAAUUUCUGAGGUUUCUCCUUUAUUGCUGGUUCUUCAGGUUUAUCCUCAACAAUUGGUUCUUCAAGCUUUUCCUCAACCAUUGGUUCUUCAAUUUUUUCCUCAACCAUUGGUUCUUCAGGUUUUUCCUCAACUCCUGGUUCUUCAGGUUUUUUCUCAACUGCUGGAUAGUCAACAACAUCAUUGUUGGUAUUGCAUGGAGUCUGAGUGUCAGACUUCCCGUUUGAAUCUAUAACUGACAUAUUCUGUAAGAAAAAUUUGAAGUUUCACUUAGUCUUCCAAUAGAUAAACAGAUGUGAAUUGUUGCACAUUCAGAGCUAAUAGUACAGGUAAAACUUGUGAGUACUUGAUCCUCACCUCUUCCAACAAAGUUACCUUUUCAGGCUUCGCUUCAACUUCAACUGCUAGUUUUUCAAGGUUCUUUUCAAUUGCUAGAUCUUUAGUUGUUUCUUCAACUGCUGGUUCUUCAGGUUUCUCUUCAAAUGUUAGUUCUUCAAGUGUUUCUUUCCAUGCUGGUCCUGCAAGUGUUUUUUCAACUACAAGCUCUUCAGAUUUCUCUUCAACUGUUGGUUCUUCAAGUUUCUCCUUGAAAACUGGUUCUUCAGUUUGUUUUUCCACUUCUGGUUCUUCAAGUUUCUCUUCAAUCACUUGUUUUUCAUGUUUUUCUUCAACUUCCAGUUCUUCAGCUGUUGGACAGUCAGCAACACCAUUGUUGGAAUUGCCUGGAAUUUCACUGUCAAUCUUGUCCUUUGAGUCUAUAAUUGACAUAUUCUGCAAGAAAAGUUUAAAAUUAGAUUUAAUAUUCAAUAGAUUGACAUAUGUGAGUGUGUUACACAUAUAAAGCUAUUAGAAUGGAUAAACUGUGACACUGUUUAAUCCUCACCUUCUCUAGGAGAGCUUCCGUUUCUAGUUUCUGCUCUUCAAUUACUGGGUUGUCGUGUUUCUCUUUAACAACUAGCUCUUCAAAGGUCUUUUCAACCAUUGGUUCUUCAGGUUUCUCUUCAAGUGCUAGCUCUCCAAGUGUUUCCUCCCCUGCUAGCUCUUCAUGUGUUUCUUUAGCUGUUGGUUCUUCAAGUUUUUCUUCAACAGUUGGUUCUUGAGGUUUCUCCUCAGCUGGUUUUUCAUAUUUCUCCUUAAUUGCUAGUGUAUCAAGUUUCUCUUCAAUAACUGGUCCUUCAGGUUUUUCUACAACUGCUGGUUCUUCAGGGUCUUUCUCAACUUCUUGAAAGUGAGCAUCAUCAUCGUUAGUAUUGCAUGGAAUUUCACAGUCAGUUUUGUCCUUUGAGUCCGCAACUAGCAAAUUCUGCAAGAAGAAUUAAAAGUUUCACUUAGUCUUUUAGUAGAUAAAGCAGAUGUGAAUCAUUGCACAUACAUAAAUAAUAGGAUGGAUAAACUUAUGACAGUGCUUGACCCUCGCCUUAUCCAAAAGAGUUACCUUUUCAAGUUUCUCCUCUUCAACUGUUGGGUUUUCAGGUUUCUCCUCUUCAACUACUGGUUUGUCAGUUUUUUCUUCAAAUGCUAGUUCAUUAGGUGUUUCUUCCCGUUUUGAUUCCUUGAGUGUUUCUUCAGUUUUUGGUUUUUCAGGUUUCUCUUCAACCAUUGGUUCUUCAAGUUUCUCCUCCACAGUUGUUUUUUCAUGUUUCUCUUCAACUGCCAGAUCUUCAAGUUCUCUCUCAACUGUUGGUUCUUCAGGCUUCUCCAUAACCGCCAAUACUUCAGGCUUCUCUUCAAUUGUUGUUUCUUCAUGUUCUUUUUCAACUACUGGUUCUUGAGAUUUUUCCUUGACUGAUUCAUAGUCAGCAAUAUCAUUGGUGGUAUUGCAUGACAUUACAUAAUCUAUCUUGUCCUUUGAGUCUACAAUUGGAAAAUGCUGCAAGAAAAUUUAAAAGUUUUACUUAGUCUUUCAACAGAUAAACAUAUGUAAAUCCGUUGCACAUAUAAAGCUAAUAUGAUGGAUAAAUUUUGUGACAAUGUUUAAUUCUGACCUUCUCUAGAAGAGCUCCGGUUUCAGGUUUCUCCACUUCAACAACUAGUUCUUUAGGUGUCUUUUCAACCGUUGCUUCUUCAGGUUUCUCUUCAAGUGCUAGUUCUUCAGCUGUUUCCUCCCCCUCUAACUCUUCAGGUGUUUUUUUAGCUGUUCGUUCUUCAGAUUUCUCUUCAGCCGCAGGUUCUUGAGGUUUCUCUUCAAAUGGUAAUUCAAAUUUCUCCUCAACCGAUGGUUCUUCAAAUUUCUCUUGAAUAACUGGUUCUUCAGGUUUUUCUUCAACUGCUGAUUCUUCAAGAUUUUCUUCAACAUUUAAAGAUUGAGCAACAUCAUUACUGGUAUUGCAUGGAAUUUCACUGCCAUUUUUGCUGUUCAAGUCUACAACUAGCAUAUUCUGCAAAAGAGUUUAAUGUUUCACUUAGUCUUUCAAUAAAGAAGCAGACGUGAAUCAUUUCACAUACAUAACUAAUAAUAUGGAUAGCUAAUAAUAUGGAUUAACUUUUAUGACAGAUUUUCCACAAGAGCUACCUUUUCAGGUUUCUCCUCUUCAAGUGAUGGUUUCUCUUCAAAUGAUAGUUCAUUAGGCGUUUCUUCCUGUGUUGGUUUUUCAUGUGCUUCUUCAGUUACUGGUUUUUCAGGUUUCUCCUUAGUUGUUGGUUCUUCGCUUGUCUCCUCAGCUGAUUGUUCUUCAAGCUUCUCUCCUGUUGUUGAUUUUUCUGGUUUCUCUUCAAUUAUCGGUGGUUCAGGUUUUUUCUCAACCGGUGAUUCUUCUGGUUUCUCCAAAACCAUUGAUUCUUCAUGUUUUUUUUCAACUACUGACUCUUCAGUGUUUUCCUCAACUGAUGCAUAGUCAGCAAUAUCGUUGUUGGUAUUGCUUGGAAUUGCAUUGUCUAUCUUGUCCUUUGAGUUUACUUUUGGCAUAUUCUGCAAUGAAGUUUCACGUAGUCUUUCAAUAGAUAAACAAAUGUAAAUUUGUUGCACAUAUAAAAGCUAAUAUGAUGGAUAAAAUUUGUGCCAGUGUUUAAUCCUCACCUUCUCCUGAAGAGCUUCCGCUUCAAGUUCCUCCUCUUCAAUUGCAGGUUUUUCAUCUUUCUCUCCAACAACUAGUUCUUCAGGUUUCUCUUCAAGUGCCAGUUCUUCAGGUGUUUCCUCCUUUGCCAGCUCUUCAGGUGUUUCCUCCUUUGCCAGCUCUUCAGGUGUUUCUUUAGCUGCCGGUUCUUCAGGUUUCUCUUCAACCUCCGGUUCUUGUGGUAUUUCCUCUACUUGUACUUCAGAUUUCUCCUCAAUUGUUGGUUCUUCAGGUUUCUCUCUAACCGCUGCUGCAUUAGGUUUCUCUUCAUUGGCUGGUUCUUCAGGUUUUUCUUCAACUACCGAUUCUUCAGGAUUUUCCUCAAUGUUUGGAAAGGGAGCGACAUCAUUAUUGGUAUUGCAUGGAAUUUCACUGCCAGUUUUGUCAUUCAAGUCCACAACUAGUAUAUUCUGCAAAAGAGUUUAAUGUUUCACUUAGUCUUUCAAUAAAGAAGCAGAUGCGAAUCAUUACAUAUACAUAACUAAUAACAUGGAUAAACUUUAUGACAGUAGUUGACCCUUACCUUUUCCACAAGAGUUACUUUUGCAGGUUUCUCCUCUUCAAGUGCUGGUUUCUCUUCAAAUGAUAGUUCAUUAGGUGUUUCUUCCCGUGUUGGUUCUUCAUGUGCUUCUUCAGUUACUGGUUUUUCAGGUUUCUCCUCAAUUGUUGGUUCUUCGCUUGUCUUCUCAACUGAUGGUUCCUCAUGCUUCUCUCCCGUUGUUGAUUUUUCGGGUUUCUCUUCAGUUGUCGAUGGUUCAGUUUUUUUCUCAACCGCUGGUUCUUUUGGCUUCUCCAAAACCAUUUCCGAUUUCUCUUCAGUUGGUGGUUCUUCAUGGUUUUUUUCAACUACUGGUUCUUCUCUUUUUUCCUCAACUGAUGCAUAGUCAGCAAUAUCGUUGUUGGUAUUGCUUGGAAUUGCAUUGUCUGUCUUGUCCUUUGAGCUUACAAUUGGCAUAUUCUGCUAGAAAAAUAUAAAGUUUCAUGUAGUCUUUCAACAGAGAAACCAAUGUAAAUUUGUUGCACAUAUAAAGCUAACAAAUAUGAUGGAUAGACUUUGCGAGAGUGUUUAAUACUCACCUUCUCCGGAAGAGCUUCCGUUUCAGGUUCCUCUUCAAUUUCUGCUUUUUCAUCUUUCUCUUCAACAACUAGUUCUUCAGGUGUCUCUUCAACCGUUGAUUCUUCAGGUUUCUCUUCAAGUGUUAGUUCUUGAGGUGUUUCCUCCUUUGCUAGCUCUUCAGGUGUUUCUGUAACUGCCGGUUCUUCAGGUUCCUCUUCAGCCACCGGCUGUUGACGUAUCUCCUCUACUUGUACUUCAGAUUUCUCCUCAAUUGUUGGUUCUUCAGGUUUCUCCUUAACCGCUGGUACAUCAGGUUUAUCCUCAUUGACUGGUUCUUCAACUGCUGAUUCUUCUAGAUUUUCCUCAAUGUCUGGAAAGCGAGCAACAUCAUUAUUGGUAUUGCAUGGAAUUUCAUUUCCAGUUUCGUUAUUCGAGUCUACAAUUAGCAUAUUCUGCAAAAAGAAUUUAAUGUUUCAUUUAGCCUUUCAAUAAAGAAGCAUAUGCGAAUAACAGUACAUGCAUAACUAACAAAAUGGAUAAACUUUGUGAUAGUGCUUGAUCCUUACCUUUGCCAAAAGAGUUACCUUUUCAGGUUUCUCCUCUUCAACGGUUGGUUCUUCAUGUUUCUUUUCAAAUGCUAGUUCCUUGGUUGUUUCUUCCGGUGUUGGUUCCAUAGGUGUUUCUUCAGUUACUUGUUUUUCGGGUUUCUCUUCAAUUAUUGGUUCUUCGAUUGUCUUCUCAACUGAUGGUUCUUCAAGAUUUUCUCCCACUGUUGGUUUUUGGGGUUUCUCUUCUAUUGUUGGUUGUUCAGGAAUUUUCUCAACUGGUGGUUCUGCUGGAUAUUCCAAAACCAUUGAUUCUUCAGAUUUCUCUUCAAUUGAUGGUUCUUCAUGGGUUUUUUCAACUACUGGUUCUUCAAUUUUUUCCUCAACAGAUGCAUAGUCAACAAUAUCAUUAUUGGUAUUGCUUGGAAUUGCAUCGUCUGUCAUGUCCUUUGAGUUUACUUUUGGCAUAUUCUGCAAUAGAGUUUCAUGUAAUCUUUCAACAGAUAAACAGAUGUAAAUUUGUUGCACAUAUAAAGCUAAUAUGGUGGAUAAACUUUGUGACAGUGUUUAAUCCUCACCUUCUCCUGAAGAUCUUCCGCUUCAAGUUCCUCCUCUACAAUUGCAGUUUUUUCCUCUUCCCCUUCAACAACUAGUUCUUCAGGUGCCUCUUCAGCCGUUGAUUCUUCAGGUUUCUCUUCAAGUGCUAGUUCUUCAGGUGUUUCCUCCUUUGCCAGCUCUUCAGGUGUUUCUUUAGAUGCCGAUUCUUCAGGUUUCUCUUCAGCCAUCGGUUCUUGAGGUAUUUCCUCUACUUGUACUUCAUAUUUCUCCUCAAUUGUUUGUUCUUCAGGUUUCUCUUCAGGUUUCUCCUUAACCACUGGUACAUCAGGUUUCUCUUGAUUAACUGGUUCUUUGGGUUUUUCUUCAACAGCCGAAUCUUCAGGAUUUUCCUCAAUGUCUUGAAAGCAAGCAAUAUCUUUAGUGGUAUUGCAUGGAAUUUCACUGCCAGUUUUGUUGUUCGAGUCUACAAUUAGCAUAUUCUGCAAAAGGAAUUUGAUGUUUCAUUUAGCCUUUUAAUAAAGAAGCAGAUGUGAAUAACAUUACAUGCAUAACUUACAAAAUGGAUAAAUUUUGUGACAGUCCUUGACCCUUACCUUUUCAGGUUUCUCCUCUUCAACAGCUGAUUCUUCAUGUUUCUCUUCAAAUGCUAGUUCUCUGGGUGUUUCUUCCCGUAGUGCUUCUUCAUGUGCUUCUUCAGUUACUGGUUUUUCAGGUUUCUCCUCAAUUGUUGGUUCUUUGAUUGUCUCCUCAACAGAUGGUUCUUCAAGCUUCUCUCCCGUUGUUGAUUUUUCUGGUUUCUCUUCAAUUGCUGGUUGUUCAGGAAUUUUCUCAACAGCUGGUUCUUCUGGCUUCUCUAAAACCAUUGAUUCUUCAGCUUUCUCUUCAAUUGAUGGUUCUUCAUGGUUUUUUUCAACUAUUGGUUCUUCAGUUUUUUCCUCAACGGAUGCAUAGUCAACAAUAUCAUUGUUGGUAUUGCUUGGAAUUGCAUCGUCUGUCAUGUCCUUUGAGUUUACUUUUGGCAUAUUCUACAAUAAAGUUUCAUGUAGUCUUUCAAUAGAUAAACAGAUGUAAAUUUGUUGCAACAUAUAAAGCUAAUAUGGUGGAUAAACUUUGUGACAGUGUUUAAUCCUCACCUUCUCCCGAAGAUCUUCCGCUUUAAGUUCCUCCUCUUCAAUUGCUGUUUUUUCAUCUUUCGUUUCAACAACUAGUUCUUCAGGUGCCUCUUCAGCCGUUGAUUCUUCAGGUUUUUCUUCAAGUGCCAGCUCUUCAGGUGUUUCCUCCUUUGCCAUCUCUUCAGGUGUUUCCUCCUUUGCCAGCUCUUCAGGUGUUUCUUUAGCUGCUGGUUCUUCAGGUUUCUCUUCAGCCGCCAGUUCUUGAGGUAUCUCCUUUUCUACUUCAGAUUUCUCCUCAACUGUUGGUUCUUCAGGUUUCUCUUCAUUAACUGGUUCUUUGGGUUUUUCUUCAACAGCCGAAUCUUCAGGAUUUUCCUCAAUGUCUGGAAAGUGAGCAACAUCUUUAUUGGUAUUGCAUGCAAUUUCACUGUCAGUUUUGUCGUUCAAGUCUACAAUUAGCAUAUUCUGCAAAAAGAAUUUGAUGUUUCAUUUAGCCUAUUAAUAAAGAAGCAGAUGUGAAUAACAUUACAUGCAUAACUUACAAAAUGGAUAAACUUUGUGAUGGUCCUUGACCCUUACCUUUCCAGGCUUCUCCUCUUCAACGGCCAGUUCUUGUUUCUCUUCAAAUGCUAGUUCCCUGGGUGUUUCUUCCUGUAUUGGUUCUUCAUGUGCUUCUUCAGGUACUGGUUUUUCAGGUUUCUCCUCAAUUGUUGGUUCUUCGAUUGUCUCCUCAACAGAUGGUUCUUCAAGGUUCUCUCCCGUUGUUGAGUCUUCUGGUUUCUCUUCAAUUGCUGGUUGUUCAGAAAUUUUCUCAACAGCUGGUUCUUCUGGCUUCUCCAAAACCAUUGAUUCUUCAGCUUUCUCUUCAAUUAAAGGUUCUUCAUGGUUUUUUUCAACUACUGUUUCUUCAGUUUUUUCCUCAACGGAUGCAUAGUCAACAACAUCAUUGUUGGUAUUGCUUGGAAUUGCAUCGUCUGUCAUGUCCUUUGAGCUUACUUUUGGCAUAUUCUGCAAUAAAGUUUCAUGUAGUCUUUCAAUAGAUAAACAGAUGUAAAUUUGUUGCACAUAUAAAGCCAAUAUGGUGGAUACACUUUGUGACAGUGUUUAAUCCUCACCUUCUCCUGAAGAUCUUCCGCUUCAAGUUCUUCCUCUUCAAUUGCUGUUUUUUCAUCUCUCUCUUCAACAACUUGUUCUUCAGGUGCCUCUUCAGCCGUUGAUUCUUCAGGUUUCUCUUCAAGCACUAGUUCUUCAGGUGUUUCCUCCUUUGCCAGCUCUUCAGGUGUUUCUUUAGCUGCCAGUUCUUCAGGUUUCUCUUCAGCUGCCGAUUCUUGAGGUAUUUCCUUUACCUGUACUUUAGAUUUCUCCUCAAAUGUUGGUUCUUCAGGUUUCUCCUUAACCGCAGGUACAUCAGGUUUCUCUUCAGCUGCUGGUUUUUGAGGUUUCUCCUCUACUUGUACCUCGGAUUUCUCCUCAACCAUCGGUUCUUCAGGUUUCUCCUCAACCUCUGGUACGUCAGGUUUCUCUUCAUUAACAAGUUCUUCACUUUUUUCUUCAAUAGUUGAUUCUUCAGGAUUUUCCUUAGUGUCUGGAGAGUAAGCAACAUCAUUAUUGGUAUUGCAUGGAAUUUCACUGCCAGUUGUGUCGUUCGACUCUACCAUUGGCAUAUUCUGCAGAAAGAAUUUAAUGUUUCACUUUGCCUUUCAAUAAAGAAGCCGAUGUAAAUCAGAGGACAUACAUAACUAAAAAAGAUGGAUUAACUUUGUGAUAGUGUUUGACUCUUACCUUUUCGAAAAGAGUUAUCUUUUCAGGUUUCUCCUCUUCAACUGUUGGUUCUUCAUGUUUCUCUUCAAAUGCUAGUUCCUCAGGUGUUUCUUCCUGUAUUGGUUCCUCAGGUGUUUCUUCUUCUGUUACUUGCUUUUCAGGUUUCUCCUCAAUUGUUGGUUCUUUGAUUGUCUCCCCAAUCGAUGGUUCUUCAAGCUUUCCCCCCCCUGUUGGUUUUUCAGGUUUCUCUUCAAUUUUCGGUUGUUCAGGUAUUUUCUCAACUGCCGGUUCUUCUGCCUUCUCCAACACCAUUGAUUCUUCAGAUUCCUCUUCAAUUGAUGAUUCUUCAUGGGUUUUUUUAACUACUGACUCUUCUGUGUUUUCCUCAACUGAUGCAUAAUCAGCAAUGUCGUUGUCGGUAUUGCUUGGAAUUGCAUUGUCUAUCUUGUCCUUUGAGUUUAAUUUUGGCAUAUUCUGCAAUAAAGUUUCAUGUAGUCUUUCAAUAGAUAAACAGAUGUAAAUUUGUUGCACUCAUAAAGCUAAUAUGAUGGAUAAAAUUUGUGACAGUGUUUAAUCCUCACCUUCUCCUGAAAAACUUCUGUUUCAAGUUCCUCCUCUUCAAUUGCUGCUUUUUCAUCUUUCUUCUCUACAACUAAUUCUUCAGGUUCCUCCUCAACGGUUGAUUCUUCAGGCUUUUCUUCAAGUACUAGUUCUUCAGGUGUUUCCUCCUUUGCUAGCUCUUCAGGUGUUCCUUUAGCUGCCGGUUCUUCUGGCUUCUCUUCAGCCUCCGGUUUUUGAGAUAUCUCCUCUACUUGAACUUUAGAUUUCUCAUUAAUUGUUGGUUCUUCAGGUUUCACCUCAACCGCUGGUACAUCAGAUUUCUCCUCAUUAACUGGUUCUUCAGGUUUUUCUUCAACAGCCAAUUCUUCAGGAAUUUCCUCAAUGUCUGGAAAGUGAACAACAUUAUUCUUCGUAUUGCAUGGAAUUUCACUGCCACUGUUGUCGUUCGAGUCUAUAAUUAGCAUAUUCUGCAUAAAGAAUUCAAUGUUUUACUUAGCCUUUCAAUAAAGAAGCAGGUGUGAAUCACAAUACAUGCAUAUCUAACAAAAUGGAUAAACUUUGUGAUAGUGCUUGGCCCUUACCUUUUCUAAAAGAGUUUCCUUUUCAGGUUUCUCCUCUUCGAUGGCUGGUUCUUCAUGUUUCUCUUCAAAUGGUAGUUCAUUUGGUGUUUCUUCUCGUGUUGGUUCUUCAGGUGCUUCCUCAGUUACUGGUUUUACAGGUUUCUCUUCAACUGUUAGUUCUUCGAGUGUCUCCUCCAUCGAUGGUUCCUCAAGUUUCUCUCUUGCUGCUGGUUUUUCAGAUUUAUCUUCAACUAUCGGUUGUUCAGGUUUAUUCUCAAUCGCUGGUUCUGCAGGCUUCUCCGAAACCGCUGAUUCUUCAGAUUUCUCUUCAAUUGGUGAUUCUUCGUGUUUUUUUUCAACUACGGGUUCUUCAGUUUUUUCCUCAACUGAUGCAUAAUCAGCACUAUCAUUGUUGGUAUUGCAUGGAGUUGCAUUUUCUGUCUUGUUCUUUGAGCCUACAAUUGGUGAAUUCUGCAAAAAAUUUAAAAUUUCAUUUAGUCUUUAAAUAGAUAAACAGAUGUAAAUUCAUUGCACAUAUAAAGCUAAUAUGAUAGAUAAACUUUGUGACAGUGUUUAAUCUUCACCUUCUCCUGAAGAGCUUCCAUUUCUAGUUCCUCCUCUUCACUUGCUGGUUUUUCAUCUUUCUCUUCAACAACUAGUUCUUCAGGUGUCUUUAUAGUCUUUGAUUCUUCAGGUGCUUCUUUAUCUGCCCGUUCUUCAGGUUUCUCUUCAGCCACCGGUUCUUGAGGUAUAUUCUCUUGUACUUCAGAUCUCUCCUCAAUUAUUGGUUCUGCAGGUUUCUCUUCAUUGUCUGGUUCUUUGGGUUUUUCUUCGACAGCCAAUUCUUCAAGAUGAUUUUCCUCAAUGUCUGGAAAGUGAGCAACAUCAUUAUUGGUAUUGCAUGGAAUUUCACUGUCAGUUUUGUCGUUCAAGUCUACAAUUAGCACAUUCUGCAAAAAGAAUUUAAUGUUUCACUUAGCCUUGCAACAAAAAAGCAGAUGUGAACAACAAUAUGUGCAUAACUAACAAAAUGGAUAAAUUUUGUGAUAGUGCUUACCUUUUCAGGUUUCUCCUCUUCAACCGCUGGCUCUUCAUAUUUCUCUGCAAGUGCUGGUUUUUCAGGCUUCUCUUCAACUGUCAGUUGUUCAGUUUUCUUAUCAAUGACCAGUUCUUCAAGAUUCUCCGAAACAACAGAUACUACAGAUUUAUUUUCAAGUGCAAGUUCUUCAUGUGUUUCCUCUCCUGCAAACUCUUCAGAUGUUACUUUUGAUGUCGGUGCUACAGGUUUCUCUUCAAGUGCUAGUUCUUCAUGUGUUUCCUCCCCUGCUAGCUCUUCAGUUUUUUCUUUCGAUGUUGGUUCUUCAGGUUCCUCUUUAACCUCUGGUACAUCAUGUUUCUUUUCAAUAACUAAUUCUUCAGGUUUUUCUUCAACUUCAACUGCUGGUUCUUCGAGUUUUUUCUCAAUUUCUGGAAAGUGAGCAGUAUUGUUGUUGGUAUUGCAUGGAAUUUCAUUAUCAGUUUUGUCCUUAGAGUCUACAACUAGCAAAUUCUGCAAGAAGUAUUUAAAGUUUCACUUAGUCUUUUGUAGAUAAGCAGAUGUGAAUUGUUACACUUACAUAACUAAUAGGAUGGAUAAACUUUAUCACAGUGCCUGACCCUCGCCUUAUCCAAAAGAGUUACCUUUUCAGAUUUCUCUUCAAAUGCUAGUUCAUUUGGUGUUUCUUCCCGUGUUGGUUCUUCAGGUGCUUCUUCAGUUACCCUUUUUUCUGGUUUAUCUUCAACUGUUGGUUCUUCUAGUGUCUCCUCAAUCGAUGGUUCUUCAAGUUUCUCCCUUGGUGCUAGUUUUUCAGAUUUAUCUUCAACUGUUGGUUGUUCAUGUUUAUUCUCAACCGCUGAUUCUUCAGGCUUCUCCAAAACCGCUGAGUCUUCAGAUUUCUCUUCAAUUGUUGGUUCUUCAUGUUUUUUUUCAACUACUGGUUCUUCAGUUUUUUCCUCAACUGAUGCAUAAUCAGCAAUAUCUUUGCUGGUAUUGCAUGGAAUUGCAUUUUCUGUCUUGUUCAUUGGGUCUACUAUUGGCGAAUUCUGCAAAAAAAUUUAAAGUUUCUUUUAGUCUUUCAAUAGAUAAACAGAUGUAAAUUCGUUGCGCACAUAAAGCUAAUAUGAUGGAUAAACUUUGUGACUGUUUAAUCCUCACAUUCUCCUGAAGAGCUUCCAUUUCAGGUUUCUCCUCUUCAAUUGCUGGUUUUUCAUCAUUCUCUUCAACCACUAGUUCUUCAAGUGUAUCUUCAACCGUUGGUUUUUCAGGUUUCUCUUUAAGGGUUUCCUCCCCUGCUAGAUCUUCAGAUGUUUCUCUUUCUGUUGGUUCUUCAGGUUUCUCUUCAGCCUCUGGUUUCUUAAUUUUUUCCUCAAAUGAUUCUUCAGAUUUCUGCUCAACUGUUGGUAAAUCAGGUUUCUCUGGUUCCUCGGGUUUUUCUUCAACUGCUGGUUCCUCAACUUUUGCAAAGUUAGCAGCAUCGUUUAGGGUAUUGCAUGGAAAUUCUUUGUCAGUUUUGUUGUUUGAGUCUACAGCUAGCAUUUUCUGCUAGAGGAAUUUAAAGUUUCAGUUAGUCUUUAAGUAGAUAAGCAAAUAUGGACUGUUGCACAUACAUAACUAAGACAAUGGAUAAACUUUGUGCCAGUGCUUGAUCCUCACCUUUUCCAAGAGAGUUACCUUAUUAGGUUUCUCCUCUUUAACUGCUGGUUUUCCACCUUUCUCUUCAACUGCUAGUUGUUCUGUUGUUUCUUCAACUGUUCGUUCUUCAAGUUUUUCUUUGAAUUCUAAUUUUUCCGGUGUUUUUUCCCGUGUUGGUUCUUUUGGUGUUUCUUCAACUACUAGUUCUUCGAGUUUCUCUUCAGCUGCUGUUUUUUCAAAUUUCUCCUGAACCUCUGUUUCUUUCUCUUGCACAACUGGCUCUUCAGGGUUUUUUUCAACUUCUGGUUCUUCAUGUUUCUCUGUAACUGUUGGUUCUUUAUGUUUCUCUUCAAUCAUUGGUUCUUCAUGUUUUUCUUCAACUGCUAGUUCUUCAGAUUUUUCCUCUACUGCUGGAUGGUCAGCAACAUCUUGGUUUCCCUUCUCGAUUAAGUUGUUCCCGUGUUUCCCGCUCGUAUCUGAUUCAGCAUCAUCUAAUCUAGUUUCUUCGACAACGUUAAUAAAUGAGUUACCAAGCACAAAUUGUUCUUGUACCAUUCGACCGUCAUCCUUGUCCGAGCUAGUUGCUGAUUCUUUUGCAUUUUCUGGGUAGCCAUUUGAAGAAAUAUUUUCAGCUGGGCUGAUUUCUACUCUUUCAUCUUCUGUUUUCUCCCCCUGGUGGAAUGAACUCCCGAAGAUCUGUUCAUCUGACUUGUUUGGUGUAUCGACUGACACAUGGACCUCUAUUGAACUGCCAUUUUCUUCAACAGCCUUGGAAACUAAGGGUGAUGCAUAAAAAAUUUCACCCCCAGUGAUUCCAUAGUUACCUUUAGUCAGAUCCUUAAUACUUGCAACCUCUGAAGCUCUUUCAAAUUCAGAUUGUGAAUGGCCCUUCUCGUCUUUCUCCAUCUUCAGUUUGUCUGAUAUUGUAUACACUUCCCCUAGCAAAUUCUCUUUUUUUUCCUGCAUAAAGGAAUGAUUUUUGCUAUGUCGUUACAGAAUUAAGAGAAAAUGUGUUUAACUUAUCUAACAUUGGCAGAGCAGCACUGAAGUUACAACAGGAUAUUUGUCAGACUAACCCUGCGAUAUUGGAACUGCAUGUAUUAGCAAGAUCUCUGUUUUAUCAUUGAAAUGGAGUUACUAACCCAAGCCUAGUGGUAAAAGCCGCAGAUGUCCCAACAUAGGACCUAUUCAGUAAACCCAUGUUUGAGAAUCCCCCCAGAAAGAGUUGCUAUUACUCUUCCCUGUAUUAACCAAUUAAUCUCCAACAGGACCUAUUUACUCUUCGUAUAAUGUAUCAGAUAUUCUUCAUUGGCGUAAAGAGACUGCAACAGUAUGGAGGGAGGUGAUUAGGAAUGAUAUGGAGCAGUUACAGCUUACGGAGGACAUGACCCUUGAUAGGAAGGUGUGGAGGACGCGGAUUAGGGUAGAGGGUUAGGGGGUGGGAGUGCGUCGGUAUCAGUAGGGGAGCGUUCUUUUGUGUCUAGAGUUUCUUGUUCGUGGUGUUGUGGCUGUAGUAUUAUCUUGGGGCUAGCGGUGUUAGUUUAUUUUGCAUACCGUACUAGCUUAUAUGCACUUAUCUUUUGUGUUUGUUAUAUUGUUGGUUUAUUUUGCAUACCGUACUAGUUUACAUGUACUUAUCUUUUGUGUUUACUAUACUAUUAUCGGUCCUAAGCCGGGGUCUAUCGGAAACAACCUUUCUACCUCUCUACCUCACCUGAGGUAAUGGUAUGGUCUGCGUACACUCUACACUCCCUAGACCCCACUAUGUGGGAAUAUACUGGGUAUGUUGUUGUUGUUGUUGUUGGCGUAAAGAGACUGCAGUAUUAAACAAUAGGAAAAACAAUGCAGGAAUACUUCUACCUACAAUAUUUGAAGUUUGUGAAAAGUCGAUGAGAUACUGUUUAUUGCAUGUACAAGUGAUGUGUUAGUGGCUUCUAAAGAAAGAUAAAUUUUGAGUUAUCAGUUGGGUAAAUACAGAUUAGUUCGUCAGUUGGGGGCUUAAGUUAUUUACUUCUGAGAGUAUAUAUAUUAAUUACCAGUAGCAUGUUUCUAGAUUAGCUUGAUGUGACAAAGAAGUUAUAUAGAGAAUUUGAAGUGUUGGUGUCAAACAGUCAUGAUAAUCCAAUUACCUCUAACAUUUUCCGUUAAGUGUUUCUAAAAUAUGAGAAUAUUGAUUUGAAAUGUAUAUUUAUAAUUUCUCCAUGUAAGAACUUGAGUGGAACAAUUCUCCUUCCAGGCUAACUAGAUGUCGUCUCACACAAUUAAAAUGAGGAACACGUUGUUGUUCUAAGCUCAUGUUCGCUCCUCAAAACUAACACCUCAGACCAUACUAAACUUCAUUUCAGAAUAUGACAGCUAAUGUUAAAAUGAAGUAUUCACUUUCUCCUUGCUAAAGCUACCACAAUCUGUUAUGGAGUCGGGGCAAUACAAUUAACAAGAAAAUGAAUCUUUAGUUACACCCAAACUCAGCCUUUGUUUCCCUAUAGUUCUCUUUCGACCACAAGCUAUAAUUUUCUUUUAAUUAAACCAGUAUCUUUCAAUGCUAAUUUAUUUACGAAGAGUUUUUUUGAAAGUCAGAUUUCAUUAAUUCGUUUCUGUGCUAAUUUAAGUUUUCCCUAGGUAUUCUUUUUGUCAAUAUCUAUAUUCUAUAGUCUUUUGGAGAGGGUCAAGUUUUCAGUACUACAUUAUUAAAGGUGAGUAGUUGAGAAUUAAUAAUUGUGCUGAUUUGUUUCUGUGCCAUUUCUUUUUAGGCUAGCUUUGGAUGGCUUCAGGAGGAGUAGAGGUAGGCGAAAGAAAUACUGGAGGGAGGUAAUUAGGUAGGACAUGAAGUUGUUUCAGCUUACUGAGGACAUGACCCUAGACAGGAAGGUGUGGAGGUCGUGGAUUAGGGUAGAAGGCUAGUGUGAGUGGGUGGGUUGUGGCUAGGUGUUAGUAGAGUUUGGGUGUGAUAGGUGUCUUAGGUCUGUGAAUGUGUGUGACUACUACAUGGGUAUCCGUUUUCCUUAUUUCUUAUUACGUAUUGUUCGUUGUUCUCUUAUUUUCUUUUCUCGGAUAUCUAGUGUUAUUAUUUCUUACCUUUUAUUUUGUUAUGCUACCCAUCCAGUUUUAUAUUUCAUUACGAUCUUGGUAUAUUAUUCUAUAUCUUGAGCCGGGGGUCUAUCGGAAUCAACCUCUCUACUUCCUCGGAGGUAGCGGUAUGGACUGCGUACAUUUUACCCUCCCCAGACCUCACUUUGUGGGAAUACACUGGGACUGUUGUUGUUGUUGUUGUUGUAUUACCCCUCCAUACAUACACAUAUAUAGAAGUCAAGUUGCUAUUGCCUAAGAAGAAGAUCAACUAAAAUAUAGAACAUACAGCCAGGAACUUGUAUGUUAUCUCAGGAUCGAGUUUUUAUUGUAAAAUAAACAAUUUGAACCAGUUGAAUAUCUACUAAUUGUAGAAAUAACAUACAAGUUCCGAAAAUAGGAAACCUCUAUUAAAUGAUGGGCAAAUCUAAACAAAUUUUCUUUUUUCAUCGAAGACUGCAUGGCAGUAAUUUUAGAUGAAGACGGUAACCCUUAAUUCGGUUCUUUAGCGACCAUCUUUGUGGUUUGAAGAAAAUUGGUAAUGAUCUGGUAAAGUUAUUUCACUAGCAUACUUCAUAUUACACAGUUGUUUCAGAUAUGAUCUCUGAUCAUGCAGUGUCUUUUUUCUCAGAAAAAGGUCUUUUCACAUACAUGAAAGCAAUCUUGACUACUGAAAAAAAGAUGUAGAAGUAACUGUUGCGGCUAAUGGAAAUGAUAAACACGCAAAAUGAUGAAGUAUCAUGCUCACAUAAAGUAAAACAAGUGAGUUAACUUACGCUUUUGUUCUCUGGUAUUUCAGCUAUGUAUUCCAAUUCUCGUGAGCUGAUCGCUGAAUUGCUGUGUUUACGUUUUCUCAACCUCCCUAAAGACUAUCAGAGUGUGUUUUGUACAACUGAACUGGACUGAAAAUUCUCAUAGCUAUAAGUAGAGAUUCUCUAAGUAUGUCGAUGCAGGAUUACAAUAGUUAUAUAAUUAUUAAUUGAUGACCAUGUUGUUAAAGUAGAUAGAAAAUGACAAAUCCACUUGCUAAUCCUACUAAUAUUAUGAGUUGGAAAUAGACGUGGUCCUUUUGAAUGAUGAGUAGUCACAUGCCCCUCUAGUAUAGCUUUUCUAGUCAUCAAACAGUCAGAUAAUUGUUUCUAAUUUAUAACUGCAGGGAUUGUGCUGCUGACAAGAAGAAACUGCCACAAGAAUUUACUGUUCACUUCAUCCCAGGUUAUGGUUAUAAAUUCCUUU